UGGGGAAUUUUGGACAAUGGGCGAAAGCCUGAUCCAGCAAUGCCGCGUGUGUGAAGAAGGCCUUCGGGUUGUAAAGCACUUUUGUCCGGAAAGAAAUCCUUGGCUCUAAUACAGUCGGGGGAUGACGGUACCGGAAGAAUAAGCACCGGCUAACUACGUGCCAGCAGCCGCGGUAAUACGUAGGGUGCAAGCGUUAAUCGGAAUUACUGGGCGUAAAGCGUGCGCAGGCGGUUUGCUAAGACCGAUGUGAAAUCCCCGGGCUCAACCUGGGAACUGCAUUGGUGACUGGCAGGCUAGAGUAUGGCAGAGGGGGGUAGAAUUGCCACGUGUAGCAGUGAAAUGCGUAGAGAUGUGGAGGAAUACCGAUGGCGAAGGCAGCCCCCUGGGCCAAUACUGACGCUCAUGCACGAAAGCGUGGGGAGCAAAACAGGAUUCAGAUACCCUGGUAGUCCACGCCCUAAACGAUGUCAACUAGUUGUUGGGGAUUCAUUUCCUUAGUAACGUAGCUAACGCGUGAAGUUGACCGCCUGGGGAGUACGGUCGCAAGAUUAAAAC
rnacentral:rRNA from 1 species